GGCACUAUGGCCGAGUGGUUAAGGCGACAGAUUCGAAUCAUUCGAUCUUAUCUGUUUCCCUAUGGGAGCGCAAGUUCAAAUCUUGCUGGUGUCG
rnacentral:tRNA from 1 species